UUAAUUAGUAAUAGUUAUGAUCUUGAAAUUUAAAAAAUUUGGCGGUAUUUUAGUCUCUUCAGAGGAACCUGUUCUAUAAUUGAUAGUCCACGAUUAAUUUUACUUAUUUUAUUAAUUUGUAUAUCAUCGUAGUUUGAAUAUUUUAUAAGAAACUAAAUAUUCAAAAUUUUUUAUUAUAAUAGGAAUUCAGAUCAAGGUGCAGUUUAUAAAUAAGAAGAAAUGGGUUACAAUAAAUUUAUUUAUACGGAUUAAAAAUGAAAAUUUUAUUUGAAGGUGGAUUUGAAAGUAAUAAUAUUAAUUUAAUAAUAUGAUUGAGCUCUAAAAUAUGUACACAUCGCCCGUC
rnacentral:rRNA from 1 species